rnacentral:misc_RNA from 1 species
UCUCCGUUGGUGAACCAGCGGAGGGAUCAUUACAGAGUUUUCACAACUCCCAACCCUUGCGAACCGUACCCAUUCUGUUCUCGUUGCUUCCGGCGGGGGGGACGGGUGGGCCCGAAACGGCCUCCCCGCCCCGCCCGCCGGGGGCGGCGGGCCCUACGAACCUUUAUAUCUUAACCACCAGAAACCGUCUGAGAAAACAAACAAAAUAAUCAAAACUUUCAACAACGGAUCUCUUGGCUCUG